UUNNGGNNGAUNNNGNNNGANGNNNNCCCUUUAAAGGUUCGACUAAGCCAUGCGAGUCGAAUGCCGCAAGGCAUGGCGUACUGCUCAGUAACACGUGGACAUUCCUCCCUUAGGACUGGGAUAACCCCGGGAAACUGGGAAUAAUCCCCGAUAGUCCUCGAAGGCUGGAACGCAUCGAGGGCGAAAGCUCCGGCGCCUAAGGAUGGGUCUGCGGCCUAUCAGGUAGUAGUGGGUGUAGCGUACCUACUAGCCUACGACGGGUACGGGUUGUGAGAGCAAGAGCCCGGAGAUGGAUUCUGAGACACGAAUCCAGGCCCUACGGGGUGCAGCAGGCGCGAAAACUUUACAAUGCUGGCAACAGCGAUAAGGGAACCUCGAGUGCCAGGUUACAAAUCUGGCUGUCGAGAUGCCUAAAAAGCAUUUCAUAGCAAGGGCCGGGCAAGACCGGUGCCAGCCGCCGCGGUAACACCGGCGGCUCGAGUGGUAACCGUUAUUAUUGGGUCUAAAGGGUCUGUAGCCGGCCGGAUAAAUCUCUUGGGAAAUCUGGCAGCUCAACUGUCAGGCUAUCAGGAGAUACUGUCUGGCUUCGAUGCCGGGAGAGGUGAGAGGUACUUCAGGG
rnacentral:rRNA from 1 species